GUUCCUUUUCAGUUACCCUUUAUACCCAAUGUGUCAGGUUCCUAGUUUGUUACAUAGUUCUACCCUGCCUACAUUCAAGGGUAUUGGAUCAAAAUCAAAUAUUAACUAGAACACACCCGCGAAAUCGUGGGCAUAAACAGCUUGUAAACUGUUGUAAGAUGAUUUUUUGUAAAAGAUAUUAUGACUGGAGAAUUUCAUAUAAGGUAUCAAAAGCCCUCUCCCUUUUUUAGCUCACCUGGCCCGAAGGGCCAAGUGAGCUUUUCCCAUCACUUUGCGUCCGGCGUCGUUAACUUUUACAAAAAUCUUCUCCUCUGAAACUACUGAACCAAAUUAAUCCAAACUUUGCCACAAUCAUCAUUGGGGUAUCUAGUUUAAAAAAUGUGUGGCUUGAUACGGCCAACCAACCAAGA
rnacentral:lncRNA from 1 species